rnacentral:rRNA from 1 species
UAGGGAAUCUUCGGCAAUGGGGGGAACCCUGACCGAGCAACGCCGCGUGAGUGAAGAAGGUUUUCGGAUCGUAAAGCUCUGUUGUUAAGGAAGAACGAGUGUGAGAAUGGAAAGUUCAUGCUGUGACGGUACUUAACCAGAAAGGGACGGCUAACUACGUGCCAGCAGCCGCGGUAAUACGUAGGUCCCGAGCGUUGUCCGGAUUUAUUGGGUUUAAAGGGAGUGUAGGCGGUUGGUUAAGCGUGUUGUGAAAUGUAGAUGCUCAACAUCUGACUUGCAGCGCGAACUGGCUGACUUGAGUACACACAACGUAGGCGGAAUUCAUGGUGUAGCGGUGAAAUGCUUAGAUAUCAUGAAGAACUCCGAUUGCGAAGGCAGCUUACGGGAGUGUUACUGACGCUUAAGCUCGAAGGUGCGGGUAUCGAACAGG